UACGUAGGGGGCGAGCGUUGUUCGGAUUUACUGGGCGUAAAGCGCACGUAGGCGGAUCGUUAAGUCGAGGGUGAAAUCCUGGAGCUCAACUCCAGAACUGCCUUCGAUACUGGCGAUCUAGAGUCCGGAAGAGGUGAGUGGAACUCCUAGUGUAGAGGUGGAAUUCGUAGAUAUUAGGAAGAACACCAGUGGCGAAGGCGGCUCACUGGUCCGGUACUGACGCUGAUGUGCGAAAGCGUGGGGAGCAAACAGG
rnacentral:rRNA from 1 species